rnacentral:Y_RNA from 1 species
GGCUGGUCUGAGAGCAUUGGUGGUAACUGGAUCACAACCAGUUACAGAUUUCUUUGUUCCUUCUGCACUCUCACUGUUUCACUUAACUAGCCUAAA